rnacentral:rRNA from 1 species
AUUGAACGCUGGCGGCAGGCCUAACACAUGCAAGUCGAGCGGAUGAAGGGAGCUUGCUCCUGGAUUCAGCGGCGGACGGGUGAGUAAUUCCUAGGAAUCUGCCUGGUAGUGGGGGAUAACGUCCGGAAACGGGCGCUAAUACCGCAUACGUCCUGAGGGAGAAAGUGGGGGAUCUUCGGACCUCACGCUAUCAGAUGAGCCUAGGUCGGAUUAGCUAGUUGGUGGGGUAAAGGCCUACCAAGGCGACGAUCCGUAACUGGUCUGAGAGGAUGAUCAGUCACACUGGAACUGAGACACGGUCCAGACUCCUACGGGAGGCAGCAGUCGGGAAUAUUGGACAAUGGGCGAAAGCCUGAUCCAGCCAUGCCGCGUGUGUGAAGAAGGUCUUCGGAUUGUAAAGCACUUUAAGUUGGGAGGAAGGGCAGUAAGUUAAUACCUUGCUGUUUUGACGUUACCAACAGAAUAAGCACCGGCUAACUUCGUG